CUGUCAGGGGAAUGAUGUACUAUUAUCGAGCUCUAAAGCUUCUAGCUUUCCUCGAUUCUUCAGCGGAGACGGAUACUACCG